ACGUAGGGGGCAAGCGUUGUCCGGAAUGAUUGGGCGUAAAGGGCGCGUAGGCGGCCAUUUAAGAGUGGAGUGAAAGUCCUGCUUUCAAGGUGGGAAUUGCUUUGCUAACUGGAUGGCUUGAGUGCAGGAGAGGUUAGUGGAAUUCCCGGUGUAGCGGUGAAAUGCGUAGAGAUCGGGAGGAACACCAGUGGCGAAGGCGACUAACUGGACUGUAACUGACGCUGAGGCGCGAAAGUGUGGGGAGCGAACAG
rnacentral:rRNA from 1 species